CAGUCGCCACGGUAAUACGUAGGUGGCAAGCGUUGUCCGGAAUUAUUGGGCGUAAAGCGCGCGCAGGCGGAUAGGUCAGUCUGUCUUAAAAGUUCGGGGCUUAACCCCGUGAUGAGAUGGAAACUGCCAAUCUAGAGUAUCGGAGAGGAAAGUGGAAUUCCUAGUGUAGCGGUGAAAUGCGUAGAUAUUAGGAAGAACACCAGUGGCGAAGGCGACUUUCUGGACGAAAACUGACGCUGAGGCGCGAAAGCCAGGGGAGCGAACGGGAUUAGAUACCCCAGUAGUCCCUGUCUCUUAUACA
rnacentral:rRNA from 1 species